rnacentral:sRNA from 1 species
AGCAGCCCCAUUUGGGUCCCUUCCCUUUGUAUGGGAGCUGUUUUCAUGCUAUUUCACUCUAUUAAAUCUUGCAACUGCACUCUUCUGGUCCAUGUUUGUUACGGCUCGAGCUGAGCUUUUGCUCACCGUCCACCACUGCUGUUUGCCACCACCGCAGACCUGCCGCCGACUCCCAUCCCUCUGGAUCCUGCAGGGUGUCCGCUGUGCUCCUGAUCCAGCGAGGCGCCCAUUGCCGCUCCCAAUUGGGCUAAAGGCUUGCCAUUGUUCCUGCACGGCUAAGUGCCCGGGUUUGUCCUAAUUGAGCUGAACACUAGUCACUGGGUUCCAUGGUUCUCUUCUGUGACCCACGGCUUCUAAUAGAACUAUAACACUCACCACAUGGCCCAAGAUUCCAUUCCUUGGAAUCCGUGAGGCCAAGAACUCCAGGUCAGAGAACACGAGGCUUGCCACCAUCUUGGAAGCGGCCUGCUACCAUCUUGGAAGUGGUUCACCACCAUCUUGGGAGCUCUGUGAGCAAGGACCCCCCGGUAACAUUUUGGCAACCACGAACGGACAUCCAAAGUGAAUCGAAGCUGUAAAACUACAAAUGGAGCCCAAGAUGCAGUCCAAGACUAAGAUCUACCGCAGACCCCUGGACCGGCCUGCUAGCCCACGAUCUGAUGUUAAUGACAUCAAAGGCACCCCUCCCGAGGAAAUCUUAACUGCACAACCUCUACUACGCCCCAAUUCAGCAGGAAGCAGUUAGAGCGGUCGUCGGCCAACCUCCCCAACAGCACUUAGGUUUUCCUGUUGAGAUGGGGGACUGAGAGACAGGACUAGCUGGAUUUCCUAGGCUGACUAAGAAUCCCUAAGCCUAGCUGGGAAGGUGACCACAUCCACCUUUAAACACGGGGCUUGCAACUUAGCUCACACCUGACCAAUCAGAGAGCUCACUAAAAUGCUAAUUAGGCAAAAACAGGAGGUAAAGAAAUAGCCAAUCAUCUAUUGCCUGAGAGCACAGCAGGAGGGACAAUGAUCGGGAUAUAAACCCAGGUCUUCGAGCUGGCAACGGCAACCCCCUUUGGGUCCCCUCCCUUUGUAUGGGAGCUCUGUUUUCAUGCUAUUUCACUCUAUUAAAUCUUGCAACUGCA